AAAAAGAAGGAUUGUAUAUAAGACGUAUGUCCCUCUAAUCCCCUCAAUGAUUGCCCUUUACCUUUGGAAAGCUUCCCACUGACCAAGUAACGUUUUCAUUGUCACAUCCCCAAGUUGAUUCUUACCAAAGGACAGGAAAAAGGCGGUAUAUUCUGUUUUGUACAAAACCGGUAGGCCAUUCAUAUCGUUGCACCCUCUCGAAGGUUGCAGGAACGUUAGAUUGCGUGUAACCCAGCCUAUAGGAAGUCGACUAUGAGAAGGGAUAUCGCGCAAGCGUAUUUCUCUUAUCCAUCCCCUUGAACGAAGAGAAAGAGGGUGGGAAGCCAAAGCUUAACCCUCAGUGAGAACUUAAACGCGAGAUCGCGCGGACGGUAAAGUCCAAUCCCGUGAUAAAAGAUACCAUGGGAAAACACGGAUAAAAACAUAAUAUAUAAACAUAUAGUAAUAUAAUAUAUAUUUUUCUAUGUUCUAACGAUAAAUAUUAUUUAAUGGUUUUAAUAUAAUUUAAACGUAAUCGUUAAAUUAAUAAUAGAUUGAAAGGUUCGAUGGUGACAAUAUCUUUCAUCGUUAUUCGUGAUCAUUCUACUACUUCUUCUGCUACUUCUACACCUUCUUCUUCUUCUUCUUUGCGAGAAUAACGAAGAACAGAAUCCGAUUGUUACAGACAAAAAAAAAUCUAUCUUUUUUAUACCAACGAAUAGGUAAGGUCCGAAGAGAAUCCGACAUUACCGAUGGGUAGAACACAUAUGUCAAAAACGCUGAACGCUUAUAGAAUCAAAAAAAUAGAAACUAUUGGCAGGAUGACGGCCAUGACGCAGGAAGAAAUAAUAGCUGGGGCACGUACAGUGGCCCAGGGAUUGGAGGCUCUCCGUGUAGAACACAGUGGUCUAUUACAGGGAUUACAAUCGCAGGAUGCACCAGCUGCACGAGAUAAAGCCAAUCUGUUAUCGAAGAACAUCGAAAUGAUAGAAUUGGGUUUAGGAGAAGCUCAAGUGAUGAUGGCAUUAGCGAGUCAUCUGCAAAUGGUAGAAGCAGAGAAACAAAAACUUAGAACUCAAGUUAGAAGAUUGUGUCAAGAGAAUGCGUGGCUGAGAGACGAAUUGGCAGGAACACAACAAAAAUUACAAGCUAGUGAACAAGCGGUUGCUCAACUGGAAGAGGAAAAGAAACAUUUGGAAUUUAUGACCAGUAUGAGACAAUAUGAUCCUGAUCCUUCUGCAGAUGAUGAAAAUGCUAAAGAUAGGCCAAAAGAUGAUCCCGUAGUUGAUUUGUUUCCUGAUGAUGAUGCUGAUGACCGAAAUAGUAAGUCAAUAUCACCUACACCGCCAUCACAAUUCGCACAGCAAGUCAAUGCUGGAUAUGAAAUACCAGCACGUUUGCGUACUCUGCACAAUUUGGUAAUACAAUACGCGAGUCAGGGACGUUAUGAAGUAGCUGUACCUUUAUGCAAACAAGCAUUGGAAGAUUUGGAGAAAACUUCCGGUCAUGAUCAUCCUGAUGUCGCAACAAUGUUAAAUAUCUUGGCAUUGGUAUAUCGAGAUCAAAAUAAAUAUAAGGAAGCAGCUAACCUUUUAAACGAUGCUUUAGCUAUAAGGGAGAAGACACUUGGUGAAAAUCACCCUGCAGUUGCAGCAACCUUAAAUAACCUUGCAGUUUUAUAUGGAAAGCGAGGAAAAUAUAAUGAAGCAGAACCAUUGUGUAAGAGAGCCCUUGCAAUUCGAGAAAAGGUUCUUGGAUUUGAACAUCCAGACGUAGCUAAACAAUUAAACAAUCUUGCAUUAUUAUGUCAAAAUCAAGGAAAAUAUGAAGAAGUAGAACGUUAUUAUCAGCGGGCUUUAGAAAUAUAUGAAGCAAAACUUGGUCCAGAUGAUCCUAACGUAGCCAAAACGAAAAAUAAUCUUGCUUCUUGUUAUUUAAAACAAGGCAAAUAUAAGGGUGCCGAAAUUCUAUAUAAACAAGUAUUGACUAGGGCACAUGAAAAAGAAUUUGGUGCUAUUGAUGAAGAUAACAAACCUAUUUGGCAGGUUGCGGAAGAACGAGAAGAAAAUAAACAUAAAAAUAAAGAAAAUACUCCUUAUGGUGAAUACGGUGGCUGGCAUAAAGCGGCUAAGGUCGAUUCCCCAACGGUUACAACUACAUUGAAAAAUCUUAGUUCCCUAUAUAGAAGACUAGGCAAAUAUGAGGCUGCAGAAACUCUUGAAGACUGUGCCUUCAGAUCAAGAAAAGAGCAUGUACAGCAGGCAUUAGAUCUAGUGAAACAAGCUAAGGUGGCUCAAAUAUUAGGAGAUGAAAAAGGAACUACUAGACGUGGAUCACGAUCGAGUUUGGCUAAUAGCGAACACGAACAACACGACGAGGGUUCGCUGCCACUGGUGCAAAGGGCGCUACAUGAAGGACAAUCUGGCCACCACGACGCUAGUCCUAACAAACCCGGUUUUAAAAACAAGAUCUUUCAAGCUUUCGGGAUUCAUUCUUCCACGUAGGAUAAUUGUCCGUUUGUAGUAUCGCUUGUCACUGAUUUUUCCCUAUAUGUACGCAGAUUUUAAAGUACUGCUGAAUAUCUAUAUUCUUAGGAAAGGAGGGCAAUUGAAUAUUAAGGGGAUCCUUAUUUUAGGUAUCCUUUAACUUCACACAAUUAUCACAUUGUGUUCUAAAAUGCUGAAGAAUACUAUAAUCGUGCGAUAUAUGUCUCUCGUAGAGUUUGUCUUUUUAGGGACAUGUACAACUGGCUGUACACGUGUGUUUCUCUGUGCUUCUCGGAAUUGAAUAUAAUUUCAUCGCACAUGCAUAACUUCGAGAAGAGAAACGUCAGUACCUUUUCUUCUAUAAUCUGCAAUGUAUUAUCAAAAUACAGUGCAAUCAAUUUUCAUCGUUCACAUCGGAUAUACAUUGUAGAAAACAAUGAAGCGUUAUUAAUCACUUCCAAUCUUUAACUGUGAUAACGCCUUGUGUUUAUUUUUUUAACGUAAAUAUGAGAAGAUCAUAAAUAACGUUUUAAAAAGAUAUUUUCAAUCGAAGGCGCUUGAUAUGAUAUAAUAUAUAUUUGAUUAUUUUAAAUUAUGUGUCUUAUAGAAAUACAUUACUAUAAAUUUUACGCUUGUAUUCGAUCGCGAGAAUAUUUGUAGUAUCAAUAAUUAUUUGAACCGUUUAUUCUCGUAAAAAGUAACAUUAAACAUGUCACAUUUCACGCCUUAUGCUUCCUUAAUGGAAAAAUUUAGAAGUUCUAUUUUAAUGUACUAUUAAUUUUUAACUUCUAUUAAGAAUAAUUUUACUAUCGAUAAGAGAUAUUAAAUUAUUUGUUACGCAUUAUAACCUUAUUAUCUCUGUGAAACCAAAAGUAGUGUGCAAUGACACACAUGUGGUGAAGAUAGAAGUCUUUAGUAACAGCUUUGCUCAACUAUAUAGCUUGGUAUAGAUUAGCAAAGAUAAUUUAUAAAAAUUAGAAAAUACGAACCAAAUGAAGUUUAUGGAUUUUUACAAAUAAUUUUAUAUUUAUUCAUUUUAUAUUUUGAUGAAUUUCAUCUUAAUCUCGAAUUUAGGUAUUCCAUUACAUUUGGAAAUGGUUGGUUCUUCCCUAAACUCCGAAUUCUUCAGGAAACUAUUUUUAAAUCUUCAUACAAUAACAUUGCAAUUUCAUUUACGAGUUUUACCUAUUGACAUUGUCACAAUUGUAUUUUGUUAACUAUCUUGUGAUAUAAGGUGUCUCGAAAUUAUUUUUGUAUUCCCGUGUAUUUAAGAUAUUAACUUAUGUGUAUAAUAUAAAGAAAAUAUUUUGUGCAAUUUAUUAAUUUAACUAUAUAUUUUUCAUUCAUAUGAUAAUAUAGUUGAAAAUUUGUCUUGCCUAUAGUUUAUAAAGAUCUCAGGAGAAUACAUAAAAAGAAUUAUUUCUUCCAAUUGUUAUCUAUUCGAGACACCAUAUACCGAGUUCUGGUGAAUGAUAUCGAUAUGAUAAUAUCUUAUACUAUCUUUUUACUUUCCUAUAGGUAGGAUGAAACGCUGUAUUAUAAAUUAAUUUUUAGUACUUUUCUUUAAUUUAUCACUUACAAACAUGAGUAAUAAGUAAAAGUAGUGCCUUGAUACUUUAAUAAAUAAAAAAAUAAAUUAUUUUCUAACAGAGUAAUUUAAUUGUUACUUGACUGACAUCGUAUAAUAUUUAAUGGCUCUAAUAGAGCAUAUUAAUAUUCGUAGGAAUGUUAUAAAGAAAAGUAUAAUUACACCCUGAAUGGUGUUAUUAAUAUUUGAGUUACAUGCAUUUUGUUUCUGUUUUGUAUGAAGCUAUACAAAGGAACAAUUCUUGUAUGAAAACUUUUUGUAUUAUGAUAACUAAAUCUUGCAUUAAUUUUCCUCGCACGCAUUUGUGUUUAACCACACUGUUCUACUAUUUUGGAAUAUCUGCGUUGUUGUUUUGUUUCGCUUUGAUUUGAGUACUGCAGGCCAGAACUUAGGUAUGGAUUGCACUGGAAUAUGUGACGCCUGGACAUCAGAGAAAAGAUAUCAUGGCAUUACAAAACAGGAUCAGAAGUACUCAGUUCGUGCUCAAUAAAGAACAUGGUUUAAGAGAACUGAAGUGAUAAAUAUGAAGCGAUUAUAAGGGCUCUGCAAUGUUUUUACCAAACAUUGACUGAUGUCCUAUGUUUGGGUCGUUUACAUAUACGGCACAUUCCAGCUGCUUUUAAUGAGAUGCACUAUGUGAAGUUCAUUUUAUUCAAACAUUAGCUUUACAUUAGCAAUCGAUUAUUUGUUAUAGCAGUUUCAAGGUAAAUCGAUCUACUCUGCUUAACAUUUAUCUGAAUCAAAAUGCAAGCUGUAAUGUUGGUAUACAAAAAUAAGUUUUACUUUUCAUGCAAAAUCAAAGAAAAUAUUGACAAUGAUACUGGCCAAAUCCAAACUUUUGACAAAUUUAAUGAAAUAAAAUAAUAAUGAACAUUAUAAUUAGUAUUGGAUUUCUAUACAUUUUUGAUAGUUUUAUGCACACAUAUCUUACAUUAUUCAUACAUGCCCUAUAUGACAUUGCAUAAUCAUUCCAUAAACUAGCUUCAAUUCAAAGCGAAUCAGUGCUUUAGGGAAUGUUUGUAUGUCGCUUGAAAAUUGGAAUACAUGUAGCAUUACACUACGCACGUAGAAUUAUGUGAGCAUACCGUCAAUGUAGUUAAGGCUAUCAAAGUGUAUAUUUAAAAAAAGACAAUGCCAGAGCAUUUUGAAAUAUUACAAAUUUAAUGUCUGUAUUAACUGGAUUGGCAUAACAAUAUACAACUUUAAAAAUAAACAGAUUUUCAAUUAUUUGCAUAUAUAUGUAUAUAUAUACAUGCAUAUAUUCGCAAUACUUAAUUUAUAUUGUCAUGUUUUCUGUAUUAUAAUAUUAUGUAUCGGGAAUAAAACUUCAUUUACUUUAACAUCGUAUCAUCUUCAUAUUGAGCUAUAUAUUUAUAUUUCAAGCCACCAACUUUGUGAUAGGCUGUGAGUGGCAUAUUAUUUUUAAGUUUAAGAGAGAAGUAUGAUGAACUUUUGAAUCCGUCAAAUCCAUUUAUACCAUAGAAAUAUGGUAAUCAAAAUAUGUGAUUGUGCAAGUAAUAUUGUUGCAUUAAUCGUUAAUUGUAAUCCUUGUUUUGUUUAUGAGAUUAUGAUCAUCCCAUUAUAUGCAAUAUGAAGCUAUUAUGAAAAAAUAUAUUGGUCUUACUAAUGUGCAUUGUAUUAGAUCUGUCAUUAUUGUUUUGGUGCUUUUUUAAAUAUUUUAUAUAUACAAGUACAUUUUAAAUCAGACAAUUUCAGGAGAUAUACUUGUAUACUUGAUAUUUUUAAUAUCAUUUAAUUAUAUUAUCAACUGAAUUAAGUGAAAAUCCUUUUUUGAAAGAAUGUAUUAUGUUUCAAAAUUUUAAAGAAUUUUCUUUCCGUUAAAAAAAUUAUAUUUUAACUAUAUCUACUUUAAUAUUUCAUUAUCAUUUUUAAUUUAUACGUUGUGUUUAAAUAUUAACUUUACGUGUGCUCUCAAUACAAUUGCUCAUGCAUUUAAAACAGAUAUCAUGCGCCUGAGAGCUCAGAGGCCUAGAUUUUGAGACGUUUAAUAUGUGGUAUAUAAAUUUUAUUACAUAAGAAAAGUUACUAAUAAAAGUGUUCACGUGGAAUUGUAGAGUGAUCUACAAUUUUAUUAGCACUAUAUUGUUCAAUUGACAAAUACUGCACUUCAAUAUAAAUAAAUAUAAAGAUUAUACUUUUCCUCUAUUAAGAUUGGCCAUGAAGAUAGAAACAAAAUUAAUAUAAAUAUAAAGUUGUUAUAUAAAGGACUGCAUGUUAAUUAUGCAAAUGCUACUUCUAUAAAACAUUUACAAUCGAAAAAAGAACUAUAAAAUUUAAUUUAUGUAUGAAACUGUAUCUGUAUUUUAUUGAAUGUUUGCAUUAUAUUGUGUUGUAAGUUUUAAUUACUAUUUUCUUUUUAAGAAUGUAUUCUUAUAUAUACUAAUAGCAUGUAUUGUUAAUUUCAUAAAAUUUGUUAUUUUCAUCAUACCAUAAAAUGCAUUGAUAUUUUACUGCGCCUACAGAGUUAAAUCGUUGAUUGGAUUCAAUAUGCAAGAUCUAUGCUAAUAGUGUUUGUUACUAUUUUGUAUUUGAGAAUGAAUGUGCGAUACAAUAGUUAACACUCAAGAAACUCAUAUACUUACUCAUCAGCAAGUAUAUAUAUCGUUUUAACGAGAAUACAUAUACUAACAAUACAAUAUUUUAGUAUUGUAGCUCUCAGGUGCAACUAUUGUUAUUUGAUAAUAUGUAAGUAACGAUUUAUAAUAAAUAUUACAACUUGUAUUACUACCCA